rnacentral:rRNA from 1 species
GACGAACGCUGGCGGCGUGCUUAACACAUGCAAGUGGUGCGACGAACCAGGCUUCGGCCUGGGGCGAAGCCGCGAACGGGUGAGUAACACGUGGGCACUCUGCCCCUUUGAUCGGGACAACCCGGGGAAACCCGGGCUAAUACCGAAUGAGGUGGCGACUCAUGAGAGUCGUCACGAAGGAAAGCUUCGGCCUCCGCGAAGGGAUGAGCCGGCGGCCCAUUAGCUUGUUGGUGGGGUAAUGGCCUACCAAGGCAACGAUGGGUGGCUGGUCUGAGAGGACGAUCAGCCACACUGGGACUGAGACACGGCCCAGACUCCUACGGGAGGCUGCAGUGGGGAAUCUUGCGCAAUGAGCGACAGCUUGACGCAGCAACGCCGCGUGAGGGAAGAAGGCUUUCGGGUCGUAAACCUCUUUCAGUUAGGACGAAGCUUUAUUGGUUAAUAACCAAUUGGAGUGACGGUACUUUCAGAAGAAGCCCCGGCUAACUACGUGCCAGCCGCCGCCGUAA